GGCGAACGGUCGCGUAACACGUAGGCAACCUGCCUCGAAGUGGGGGACAACAGCCCGAAAGGGCUGCUAAUACCGCAUGUGGCCACCUUAUCGCAUGAUUUGGUGUCUAAAGGCCUUCGGGUCGCUUUGAGAUGGGCUUGCGGCCUAUCAGCUUGUUGGUGGGGUAACGGCCUACCAAGGCGUUGACGGGUAGCUGGUCUGAGAGGAUGUCCAGCCGGAUUGGGACUGAGAUACGGCCCAGACUCCUACGGGGGGCAGCAAUUAGGAAUCUUGCGCAAUGGGCGAAAGCCUGACGCAGCGACGCCGCGUGGAGGAUGACGGGUUUCGGCCUGUAAACUCCUUUUAACGGGGAAGAAGUAUGUGACGGUACCCGUUGAAUAAGCCCCGGCUAACUACGUGCCAGCAGCCGCGGUAAUACGUAGGGGGCGAGCGUUGUCCGAAGUUACUGGGCGUAAAGAGCGCGUAGGCGGUUUUCUAAGUUUGGUGUGAAAGGUUCAGGGCUCAACCCGAACAGUGCACUGAAUACUGGGAAACUUGAGUGGGGGAGAGGAAGGUGGAAUUCCAGGUGUAGCGGUGAAAUGCGUAGAUAUCUGGAGGGACACCGGUGGCGAAGCGGCCUUCUGGCCUCUUACUGACGCUGAGCGCGAAAGCGUGGGGAGCGAACGGGAUUAGAUACCCCGGUAGUC
rnacentral:rRNA from 1 species